GGAGAUGGGGAUUUCCGUACUUCUAGCAUCUACCAUCUGGUCCUAGAGCCAAGGGUGCUCCAAGCUUCCAGGCACCUUCUUACAGGUACAGAAACUUACCAUGGAAAUAUUUUUUUCAUAUAGUUUUCUUUCUAUGUUAGAAAGCAGAUCUUAAAAAACAUGAAACAAAAACAAAAAGGAAGGUUUCCCAAGGUUUAACUUUUCAUCGACACUACUUGGAAGUAGACUAAGCAUGCAUAUAGGGGAUGAAGGGUCUGGAAGGACUAUUAGGCUGUCUGGCAUGUUAAACUCCCUGAUAGUUAGAGACUUAUAAUGUUGCAAACAUAAACUAUUUAUGUGAAAAUUUCUUCAGGUAUCUACCUUUGGCUGAAUAGUUUUAGAAAAUUUCCAGUAAAACAGUUCAACUGAUGAUGAUAAAUACUUAGGAAAAAAGUACCAAUUUAUAUAAAUGAAAAAACCUUCACUCAUUCCUCGUGAACUUUAAAUAUGGCAUAGUCUCUGAAUCAGAAAGGAAAAAAAAAAAAAAAAGCUUUUAAAAAAUUCCUCUGUAGUGCAGAGAAGGAAGAGGGGAAGAGGUAAACACAGGCAGAGGUGGGCUGCUGUUUUUUGAGUUAGCAGGGUCUCCUAUGGCUGGCAUUAAGCCAGAGCUAAGAAGCUUGAUCAGGCUGGAGCUGAGAAUAGCUACGAGCUCCAGAACUGAGCCCUGGUAUGUCACAAUUUGUUUGGUAUAUAGAAGCAAGAAACUCAGCAAGAACAUUUCUGCCGGAUUCAGCCUUAAUCUGGCCUGGCCAGCAUGUUCCACUUCCAUUAUCCAGGAUAACUCAAUCUCAUAACAUAUUAGAUAAUAUAUAAUUGACUAUAGAGACAUGAAAUUAAUUUCUUGCUCCAUGCUGCAAUUUCAGGGAGAGAAGUAGCACAGCAGUAGUUUAAUUUACAAUCUUAUGAUUCAGCACUGGAAAGUACUUAUUGUGUCUUUGAUUCAAGUCCCUCACCAUGUCAAAAACCCUGUACAUAAAUUUAUUUUAAAAUUGUUUCAAUUUCGGGUCCAUACUAUAGCUCCAGGAAAGUAAUUACAGAAUAGCAUUGAUUUGAUUAUUUGAAUUAUUAUAAUUUCCAGACAAAGUUCCUGGCUGGUUCAUGCAUGAUGGCUUUUCUGCCAACAUUGCUCUUUAACAUCCUUUCCCCUUCCACAGUGCUUAAUCUCUUGAUGUAUUCAUAGUAAGUAAUUAAAAGAACAAAACAAAGAACUGCACAGAUCACUCCAAAAGUAAUGCCUCCUAUUUGUUUCUAUGGAAACCAUAACAGAUACAAAAAGCACAGUAACACUAUUUAAUAGAGCAAAUUAUCAGCUACAGAAUACUAUUUUUCAGAAUAGUGACCACCAUUAGCUCUGUAUUUUCACCAGUGAUGAACAAGAGCCUGUAUGUUGUGCUUAUAAAAAUCUGCACCAGAGGAGGUGACCCACUGUUUCUCAGCUGCAGUGGUGUCAUCAUUGCUAGGAAAAUGUUGCCCAUGAAGUUUACCUUUCAUUGGCCCGGACAGAUGGAAAUCAGAAGACACCAAAUCCAGACUAUACAGUUAGUGUGGUUGGACAGUCCAGCCAGCAUGGACAAUAUGUUCCACAGUCCUUAAAUUGAUAUGGGGCCUGAUGUUAUCAUGCUUCAAUAUAAGGACUGUAUUCUUCUGUGUCCUGACUCUGGAAGAUCAAGCCCUCAGCUUAGUCAGUGGCAUGAUAUAGCAGACAGAGUUGAUUUGUAUCACUCCUUUCCUAUAUGAAAAGAUGCACAUCACCAUACCCUCUGAGGGCUGUGUCUUGAACUUCAAUGGAGAAUUCACAUGUUGUCACUCCAUGGACUGCUGUUUUGACUCCUGCUCAUAAUGGUGACACAACAUCUCGUCACCAGUAAUGAUGUCAUCCAGGGAAUUGUCACCUCCAGCCUCGUAUGGGUUCAGUGUGUGAGCAUUCGUGGCACUCACCUGUAGCAAACCUUGCAAUAUUCCAACGUUGCCACCAUUGUUUCCAGUGCAUUGAAUUUGUUAUUCAGCUCCAAACACAGUUCUCUAGUUGUAAUCUAUGAUUUAUGUGGAUGAGCAGAUUGAGACACUCUUCAUUUCAUGGUGUGACAGCUGUGCACGACCAUCCAGAAUAUGGCUUGUCUUUUAUGUGGCUGUUGCCACUGCUGAAAUGCACCACCCACUGUGCUCACAUCCACUGUUUGGUCUCCUUAAACCUUCAGCAAGCACCAAUGAAUGUCAGUGAGUGCCCUUUUAUUCUGCAUCAAUUCAGUGGCACACCUUUGCUUCAUUCUCAGUUCCAUGACAGGCACCAUGUUGCCAUACUGCCCCUCUGCUGCCAUCUGUCACACAGCAACAACAUGUAACAGAAUAUGGAGGGAAAGGUCCAGGUAAUUUACAUCUGUUUCUUGGUAGAUGAUGUCAGUUACUCAGUGAGAAGUGAUUGUAAGUUGAUACUAUUUGGGACACAUUGUAUAGAUUUUCUUCACUGUUUGGGGUUGAAAUGCAGGAGCCAAAUAACCCUCAAGCAGGAUAAGGUCACCUGUUAGUCACCCUAUUCUAUGUUUUCAAAAAAACCUUUGCAAGUUUCCAGGCUUUGCAAGAGUUGAAAUCAUGUGCAGGGAAGAAAGAAACUUCUGUCUCAGAACUGCUACAGUGUGAUCCUUUAGCAAUCUAAUUUAUGAUUAUGAAUCUAAUUUAUGAACUAAUAGAGUGCCUUUUUCUUUUCUUUUCUUUUUUCUUUUCUUUUCUUUUCUUUUCUUUUCUUUUCUUUUCUUUUCUUUUCUUUUCUUUUCUUUUCUUUUCUUUUCUUUUCUUUUCUUUUCUUUUCUUUUCU
ensembl:lncRNA